UACGUAGGGUGCGAGCGUUAAUCGGAAUUACUGGGCGUAAAGCGUGCGCAGGCGGUUCGUUGUGUCUGAUGUGAAAGCCCCGGGCUCAACCUGGGAAUGGCAUUGGAAACUGGCGAGCUGGAGUGCGGCAGAGGGGGGUGGAAUUCCGCGUGUAGCAGUGAAAUGCGUAGAGAUGCGGAGGAACACCGAUGGCGAAGGCAGCCCCCUGGGCCGACACUGACGCUCAGGCACGAAAGCGUGGGGAGCAAACAGG
rnacentral:rRNA from 1 species